CCUCCUGCAGUGGGUUGAACGAUGUUCUUCCCCAACCUCCCUCCCCCCCCCCCGCCCCGCCAAAGACAUGACUACAAAUAAUUAAGGAUCUCAAGAUAAGAUCAUUCUGGAUUAUCCAAAUUGCCACUGACUCCAAUGACAAACGAGUGUCCUUAAAAGAGACAAGAGAACAGCAGAGGGGAACACGCAGAGGAGAGGGGGCCACGUGAAGACAGAGGCAGAGGUCGGAACAAGGCAGCCACGAGGCGAGGAAGGCUUGGGGCCACCGGAAGCUGGAAGAGGCAAGGAAGGGUCCUUCCCCAGAGCCUUCGGAGGGAGCGCGGCCAUGCUGACCCCUCGAUUUGGGACCUGAAGCCUCCAGAACAGCGGGAGAAGACAUUUCUGUUGCUCCAAGCCAUCAAGUUUGUGGUAAUUUGCUACAGCGGUCCUAAGAGACCCAGACACCGACGCACAGACACGCGCACACACGGUUAUGCCCCCCAAAAGAAUUGCAGAAAGAAAACUAAGUAGGGAGAAAUACCCAUAUCCUGGUACUUCAGCUUGUGAAAACCUCGCGUGCGCAGAAAAGCCCCGUCUUCCCUACCUGAGGGAGGGAUCCCUGGGAGGAAUUGAUUCUCUCCAGGUCUCUUUCUUUGCUCCCUCUCCCGGGUCAGAGAAAGGCCGCUGGAUUCACUCAGCUGCUUUAAACAGUUGCCCGCUUGUUUUGCUUCCAAACUCACGUGCUCUCUCAAUCACAGGGGAGCCUGGCUGAACAAAGCCUGACAUGUCCUAGCUCUUGGGUCUGUGCCUGGAAUCGACAACCCUCACCAGGCAGACUGAACAAAACUCCCAGGAUGUCCCCGAAGAAUUCCCUCGGCUGCCUGGCUAUGGCCUCCCUUCCUUCCCUCCCCUGAAGACAGCGCAGCGUGUCUGGAGGCUCCAUGGUGAGCGAAGAAUGUUCUCCAAGUGGAAUCAUACAGGCUGCCUCCAUAGCCCUGGUGGCUGCAGGAGGUCAAGGUCAAGGUGCACCCCCGCCCCAGCUCUGGAUAACCCAACUUUAAGAAAGGGUAGUCAGGGGUGUGGGGCAGCUUUGUUUACUGCCCCAAAGCGAAGCUUUCCUGAAGCCCAGGGCCCUCUCGAUGCGCUGGCCUCCAGGCCUGACCACCGUAGUGUUCCAAGGGGGACUUCAGAUCUUGGCACGCUCCGUGGGUACACCAGUUCCUGUGAACUGAGACGUCCGUGUAGUUUGGAACGAAAGGGCAUCAUGCUUUCAUGGUAGAGGUGGUGACCUUCCACAGCGGGGACGUUACCAGCCAAGGUAUCAACACAACUGGAAUGGAAUCUCUCUCCAGCUUCAGGUUUGAUAUAAUGAACUACAUGGAAGUGAGACAUCGUGUGUUUCUACCUCUAAAAUGUUUGAAUCAGCAAGUGUCCUUGUAAAUAAGAAGUUGACUUUUCGAGAGGAUUUUACUACGAACAUGCUUAUUGCAAACGCAUUUCCUUUAUUACGCCUUCACAGAAGACCCAACUGAUAUUAAUGAUUUUCCUACUUCAUAUCCCACGAGUUGUAUGGAAACCAGGAAACAGGGUCAGGAUAAAUGAGAAGUCAAAAAAAAAAAAUUGAAUUCUGGAGCUGGGCCGUGCGUGUUCUGGAGGUAUUUACACUCUGCAAAGAGUGACGCUCUUCUCUGCGCUGUGUGCAUCUAUAAAUCAUAUUUCAAAUUCCGCACCAAAUGAACUUAUCAACAGCCUUUGCUCAUGGCGUUCAUUGCCUCUGACAGAUCUAUCCCCCAGCUGGUGUUGAUUUCUCCCUGCACUGCGGGGAGAUCAUUAAUCUUGUAUGUUCUUUCACUCUGUGUGUUUUUUUUCUCUACUGAGAUUUUAAAACAGAUUGUGCCUGUUUCCACUGACCUUUGAGAGAUUUGUCAUGUGUCCUUUUUUUAAACAGGCUGUGUAAAAGCCAAUUCCUUGAGUGUAGCGGGGGUCACGGGCAGUAAUUCUGCCACCAGGGUGGUAGCCUUGAUUUUGUCAUCCUUCCCUACAGAAGAAUCAGGGCGAGGCCACCGCCACAGAAGCAUUUAUUAUUAAGCGUCUGAAGAGAUGUUCUGGAACCAUCCUGAUUAGCGAUUCUUCUCCGGGCCUGGUGAAGUCACUUCAUCCUGCCUCCUGAGCUGCACUGAUAAGGCACGGCAGAUGCCGGCAGCCCCAGACUGACUGCCAAUGCCAAGGGAGAAGGGGAUUCCUGAGGAGCCCCACUGCCCCUGCGGACGUCUGUCCUUGAACCUCGUACUGGGCAGUUCUGUCCGCUGCCCAGAGAGGAAGGAUUGUAUCUGCACAAGCCGCGAAGAGAAGGGCAGUAGAAUUAUCUAGUGAAGACAGGUGUUGGUAGAGAUAACAGUGCUUGUGGAUGAAAGAGUGGGUAUAGACAACCCACUGUGGGCUCAGGAAGCGCUUCCUUCUCCGUGGCUGGUUGUUUCCUUCUGAAUUCUUUAGGACAUUAUUUAAAGUGCCCGUUUUAGAUAAAGUUGCCAUUUGCUCCAGUGAAAGGACUUUGGCUUUGGUAUCAUUCCUUACAAGUGGUAAGGACUCAACAUUCGUGGAAGGUUUACGCUGCUUCUCACCCCACAUGGAAGCCCUUUGUAGGAUUCAAAGCAAGUGAGGACAAGCCUUCAGAGAAAAAGAGGCCACAUGCCCGUCAGACUCGGUCCCCUACCAAAUCUCUCUUGCCCGUUCCAUGUACCCAGGGCCUGUGAGUGGGAGGCGACCGCCGGGCGACCGCUCUGUAUGCGACAUUGAACUCUCCUUCUGCCCACAUCUGGUGCAGCCACCCAAUGAAGACGCUGCUUUUCCACCUUUACAAAUUCAAGUUGCACCCUCCUCCCAUCCUCAAUCAUGAUACCUUACUUGGACUCUUCCAAUCACAGACAUGGCUCUUUGCUUUCUGGUUUCUAUCCUUUCUUCUUCUUU